GACACCGAAUGAACUAAACGAUUUCGUAAGAGAUCGUAUAUAUCAUCUGAAGGCAUGCAACAAAACUAUUGCUAAUCUCUAGUUGCAUUUCCAUAGUCUAUUUUAAUUUUUGUUUUUUUCAUGUUUUCAGAACAUUUGAAAUUAUUUAUUUCUCUUAGUUUCUAGGAGGGACCACAAACAGAAAAGUUAAUAGGCCUAUUAAGGAUAUAUUGGAUGCAGUUGACGAAACACUAAAGAUUGAUGACACAGAAGCUCACAUGGCAGUGUCGAACAGAUUGAGCACAGCUCGAUUAAUGUGUCAUACACAGCAAGGAGUGACAUCCACAGGUUCAAUUGAAGUGCUUGAAGGUGAAGGGAAUGCCAUGGCUCAUAUUCAAGUUAUGAAAGCACCAAUUUGAAGAUGUCCUUUGCUUAUCGCUCAUCAUGCCAUGCUGGAACGUCUUCUGUUUUCUGGUGGGCAGCCUGGCAGCUUCCCUUUUGUUUUUUUAUACAAGGCCUCUACACCAGCCGGGCAGGUAAGUUGAGCUAUAACAUCACCUUGGAUGUCUUCAUGGGCUCUUGUGGGUCUGCUGCCUUCUACAUCGUUUAUCUCUACUUUCAGAACCGUUGGUAUUUUGAACGUUAGUUAGAAACGCAAUGGGUCCGUAUGGAGCUGAGACAGAUGAAAAGACAAAUGGUAGUCUAAUUGAAAUGAGUAUGUGUUAUGGGCAAGGAUAACGUUGUUUGAUAUAGGGUCUAGGGCAACUAAAGAACAAUUCGUCAGUAGUGCAUGCUGGAAUGUCCGGCCCUUUAGCUUCGUUGUGCAACCCCUUUAGUGUAAGUGGCAUCCCAGGAGGAUUGUUCAGUUGUCAGGCAUUGAUUGUUAUGGCUUGUUGAAUUUUUUUAGGCCACAACUGGUGAAACUGGCUUGGAAAGUCCCAGAUCCACAACUCUGUGAAAGGGAACAUGUGCCAGCGAAAUGUGGAUGCUGCAUUGGCUUUCCUGAGCGACGAGGGACAUAUCAACUCUACAGUGGAUGAAGUUCACUUCGAAUCUACAGACAGCUACAUAUCAUGUUAAGUUACCUUAUUUGUUGAUUUGUGUGGUUUAAUUGCAGAAAUGUAUGGGAUG